rnacentral:tRNA from 1 species
AGGACUUUAGCUUAAUCAAAGUAUCUGGGUUGCAUUCAGAAUAUGUGAGGUCGUCUCGCAAGCCCUA